rnacentral:tRNA from 1 species
GGGGGUUUAGCUCAGUUGGUUAGAGCAUCGGCUUUGCAAGCCGGGGGUCAAGGGUUCGAGUCCCUUAACCUCCA